UGACGUAGGGUGCUAGCGUUGUCCGGAUUUAUUGGGACGUAAAGAGCUUGUAGGCUGGCUCGUCGCGGUCGGGUAGUGAAACUUGCGGCUUAACCGCAAGCCUGCACCCGAUACGGGCGGGCUGAGAGUUCGGCAGGGGAGACUGGAAUUCCUGGUGUAGCGGUGGAAUGCGCAGAUAUCAGGAGGAACAGCCGGUGGCGAAGGCGGGUCUCUGGGCCGAUACUGACGCUGAGGAGCGAAGCGUGGGGAGCGAACAGG
rnacentral:rRNA from 1 species